UCUGCGUCAUUCAUUGUAAAAAUCAUUUUUCAUCUCUAGAAAUCCUCAUAUCAUGAAAUACUAAUUUAAAGACUUAUUUCCUCAGGUUUUUAAGUUUUAAUAGACUCUCCGAUAUUUCAAGACAAACUUUUGCCGGGCUUAAAUGUCUGAAGCUUCUGAUGCUUUCAGGCAACAACCUAACCUCUAUUCGUGGAGACAGUUUUGCUGACACUUCUUUGGAAAUGUUGUUCCUUCAUGGCAACAGAAUAAAGCGAAUCGCUGAUAACGCUUUUAAUUACCUCAAGAACCUGGAAAUAAUGACACUGUUUUCCAACCCCAUUGAGUCACUUCAAAAUGGGAUGUUUAAAGGAGUACCCACCAACGUCCAACUGUGAGUACAUGC